rnacentral:rRNA from 1 species
UACGAAGGGUGCAAGCGUUACUCGGAAUUACUGGGCGUAAAGCGUGCGUAGGUGGUUUUUUAAGUCUGCUGUGAAAGCCCCGGGCUCAACCUGGGAAUGGCAGUGGAUACUGGAAAGCUAGAGUGCGGUAGAGGGUAGUGGAAUUCCCGGUGUAGCGGUGAAAUGCGUAGAGAUCGGGAGGAACACCAGUGGCGAAGGCGGCUACCUGGACCAGCACUGACACUGAGGCACGAAAGCGUGGGGAGCAAACAGG